GACAGAGGUGCCAAGCGUUAGGCGGAAUCACUGGGCUUAAAGCGUGUGUAGGCGGAUGCCUAAGUACCUUGUGAAAUCCCACGGCUCAACCGUGGAACUGCUGGGUAUACUGGGUGUCUUGGGUCAGCUAGGGGUUGCCGGAACAAAUGGUGGAGCGGUGAAAUGCGUAGAUAUCAUUUGGAACGCCAAUGGCGAAAGCAGGCAACUGGGGCUGCACCGACGCUGAGACACGAAAGCCAGGGGAGCAAACGGGAUUAGAUACCCCGGUAGUCCUGGCCCUAAACGAUGUCCACUAGAUCGUAGUCGCUCUGACGUGAUUAUGGUCGAAGCAAAAGUGCUAAGUGGACCGCCUGGGAAGUACGGUCGCAAGGCUAAA
rnacentral:rRNA from 1 species